AUUGAACGCUGGCGGCAGGCCUAACACAUGCAAGUCGAGCGGAGCGGCGGACGGGUGAGUAAUGCCUAGGAAUCUGCCUGGUCGUGGGGGCUAACGUCCGGUAACGGGCCCUAAUACCGCAUCGUAUCAGCUGUGACUAAGUCGGAUUAGCUAGUUGGUGGGGUAAAGGCCUACAAAGACGACGAUCCGUAACUGGUCUGAGAGGAUGAUCAGUCACACUGGAACUGAGACACGGUCCAGACUCCUACGGGAGGCAGAAGUGGGGAAUAUUGCACAAUGGGCGAAAGCCUGAGCCAGCCAUGCAGCGUGAGUGAAGAAGGUCUUCGGAUUGUAAAGCACUUUAAGUUGGGAGGCGUUACCAACAGAAUAAGCACCGGCUAACUACGUGCCAGCCGCCGCGGUAAUAC
rnacentral:rRNA from 1 species